rnacentral:rRNA from 1 species
GAUGAACGCUGGCGGCGUGCCUAAUACAUGCAAGUCGAGCGAACAGACGAGGAGCUUGCUCCUCUGACGUUAGCGGCGGACGGGUGAGUAACACGUGGAUAACCUACCUAUAAGACUGGGAUAACUUCGGGAAACCGGAGCUAAUACCGGAUAAUAUAUUGAACCGCAUGGUUCAAUAGUGAAAGACGGUUUUGCUGUCACUUAUAGGUGGAUCCGCGCCGCAUUAGCGAGUUGGUAAGGUAACGGCUUACCAAGGCAACGAUGCGUAGCCGACCUGAGAGGGUGAUCGGCCACACUGGAACUGAGACACGGUCCAGACUCCUACGGGAGGCAGCAGUAGGGAAUCUUCCGCAAAGGGCGAAAGCCUGACGGAGCAACGCCGCGUGAGUGAUGAAGGUCUUCGGAUCGUAAAACUCUGUUAUUAGGGAAGAACAAAUGUGUAAGUAACUAUGCACGUCUUGACGGUACCUAAUCAGAAAGCCACGGCUAACUACGUG